rnacentral:lncRNA from 1 species
UGAUGUUUUCAACUUUCAGGCUUAUUCUAUGCAUCCCGAUAACUUAAUCUUAUAUGUGCAUAUACUGAAUUAUUGAAGUGUCCAAGAAAAUAGAACGACUGAAGGAGAAAAGAUGAAGAGCUUGUCCGAGUCUUUAGCACAAACAGAAUUUCUGAAGAUAUUUAGUGGUUGGUUUAUUGCAUUUGAAAGUUUUUCAGGUUAUUUCUUUGUUUACCCUUUGAAUCUCUAUGAUAUUACUGAAUAAUAAUUGUAGUCUCGUUCAUCUACUCAAAAUAGAUGCAAACUUGAAUACGUAAAAGUAUAUGCAAAAUCAGAAGAAAAGAGUUUAAUGAAAAAAAACUUUCAUGUAUCUAUUAAAUUAUCUACUCAAUCAUGAUUUCACUUUUCAGAUAACAAACUCUCUUGAAUCUAUUUUACCAAAAUCUAACACAAUACAAAAUCCAAACGGACCAAUUAAGCACCAAUUUCAUGUGCCUUUUGAAAUCAACGACCACCAGAGAGAACAGAUUCAGCAAUAGACACAGAAGUAUAUGGCACUGUCUUGUCCUCAACAAGUUCUUGGUGCCCAAAAGUUAAUCCAUAGGAAGAUAAACUAAGCAAUGACAAAGCUGGUAAAGGUAUAUCCCUCUCCAAAUACUGCACAACUUGUCUCAUACUUGGUCUAGCCAAAGGCUCUGAAUGUGAACACAUCAAGCCAAGUUUCAACACCAAUUCCACCUCUUCAGACAACAACUAUGUGAACAAAGUUGAAGUCAUUAUACACGACAAAGUCUUUUGACUUAUUGAUAAUUUUUGAAACAACAACCUUACUCAAUUAGGAUGGUGGAGAACAAACCUAUCAUAGAGAAAUUGAC